rnacentral:rRNA from 1 species
UUGAUUACGUCCCUGCCCUUUGUACACACCGCCCGUCGCUGCCCGGGACUGAGCCAUUUCGAGAAACUUGGGGACCGCUGAAUCGAUGGCUUUCGAGUCAUCUUUUUGGUGGAAACCAAUUUAAUCGCAGUGGCUUGAACCGGGCAAAAGUCGUAACAAGGUAGCUGUAGGUGAACCUGCUGCUGGAUCAUUACUCGCGAACCGUAAUGGUCAAAAUUUGUUAGAAAAGCCCACUUGCUUGAGUGCCUAGUUCUUUGGCAUUCGCUUGAUGGGCUCGCACUCAUCAGUAGAGAGAAGGCUGGUGAGAGGUGAACGGCUAACGCUGGCGUCUGUAUGUUGCUGAGCAGUUGUUUUCGUCCGUGUCUGCGAUGAGGCAACAUGGUAGGACCGUUUGUGUGCUUAACGAGCGGUUUAAGACUUGAUGAGCCCAUUGUUUGGGGCCGCCAGCAUUUCUUUUUUUUCAAUAUUUUUUUCAAUACCAGAAAUUCUAGUCUUACCGGUGGAUCACUCGGCUCGUAGGUCGAUGAAGAACGCAGCUAACUGCGAUAACUAGUGUGAACUGCAGAAACAUUGAACACUAAAAUUUCGAAUGCACAUUGCGCCAUUGGAUUUACCUCCUUUGGCACGCCUGGUUCAGGGUCGUAACCCAAAUACACAAGAUAAAUUGUGUCUAUUAUCGCGGAGUCACAUUUGUGUAAUGUGUGUCUUCGUAAGCUAAAUUUAUUGAGAGUACAUUUGUUCACUCAGUGUUGCGGGUGUAAGGUCAGUAGAAGUUGUUUAUUCAACCGGCCUUUGCCAUGAUGGCAGCUGUGUUUAUGCUGCCAGCGCUUCCACUGGGUGGGCAAUUGGCUCGCCAUCAUUGUCUAUGUUGAUGGCAUUUCAAUUCAAUAUUUCGACCUGAACUCAGACGUGAGUACCCGCUGAACUUAAGCAUAUCAGUAAGCGGUGGAAAAGAAACUAACAAGGAUUCCCUUAGUAACGGCGAGUGAAA